rnacentral:lncRNA from 1 species
CUAAACCCAGCCCGUACGCGACGCGAGCCACUCGCGCGCGCGGCGCGUGCUUACGAGGAUGUCUUGGUGCCGGCGCCACCGCCGGCGCCGGCGCCGGUGCCGGCCUGGUCGGCCCUGCCCUGGAUGGCGUGGCCGGCCUGCGCCGUCUUGUGGCCGGCGUGCGCGGCGGCCUCGGCCAUCCUGCGCCGCGCCUGCUCGACGUAGUCGGGCGUGCGCUGGAACGCCUGGCGCGCCGUGUUGGCGAGGAAGGUGAGCGACGACAGCCCGCCGAGGCCCAGCGCGCCGGAGGUGAGGAAGCCGGCGACGGCGAGCCCGAUGAGCAGCGCGGCCGGGACGAGCACCGGGCUGAAGAUCAGGAACACCGGCGUGGCGACGGCGAGCCCCACCACGGACG